UGCUGCUGACGGAUCUUCGGGACCGCAGCGCCCGGACGCCGGACACAUUCUCUGGCCCGAGGACAAGGUUUUGGGGACAAGCAUGCAUUUUUGCACACUGGACUUUUUCUUACCGUCUUCCAAGUAUUAGUGGUUUCCUGCAAGACGCACCUUCCCGAAAUAGUGCGGUGCUUUAGAGUGACGUUCCUCACGUGCCGAGCGAUGUAUUAAACUUGGACCUUCUAAGCCACCCCGUCCUUCGAUCGCGCCAAGCUCUUCAUAGGCUCGUUAUAGCGUGGGCUGCAGACAAACAAACAGCUUCCUAAGUCCUUUGAGGAAAACUGGCCCGCGCAGACUCCCCAGAUGUCAAUUCAAAGAAUGUCGACGACCUUUUAGCUCCUCUCUUUGGAAAACCUUGCAAUAGAAGGAGGACGGACCCCGCCCAGAAACUGGUUCUGAUGUUGACAGAUGACACCACCAUCACACCAAGUGGGCUAUUUUGCAGGCCCUCUGUCCAGAAGAUGCCGUGGGCUCCGAGCUCUCAGCCACUUCCUGGGGGGAGGGGUCUCAACUCUGCUCUGGUCUGAUUGCCAAGGACGAGGGAGGCCUGCAUUUUCCUGCCUGAAGUUGGGAGUAAAAGAACAGUGCAACUAAGAAAAGCCCUGGAGUCCUGGUCCAGCUGAGCAGGGAGCUCAGUUCUGAAAGUGGAGCUAUAACAAGAGACACCUGCGCUGUAAUGACCUCCCAGAUUAAGAAAAAGUUGAAAAACCAGACCUGAAAGCAGCAGAGUCCUUCCCACGAGGGCAGUGCAGCCAUAAGUCUGUUUUGGAAAUGAACCAGCUGUGAGCGGACACGGCCCUGCGCGGUGACUAGGGGUUGGCGUGGAAAAAGAGGAGCCAGACCCAGGAAUCGAGAGAACAACGCACGACACAGUCAACUGCAGCUCUGAGCUCCUUGCUCCACCCACGGCUGAGGUGGCCCUUGGUCAUCACUUGCGAGUCCUCAGAAUCUCUCCUACCCGAGAGAGACCCCAAGACCCGAGUGCACACGUGGCCCCUGCACAGCAGCUUUCCCUGAAAAUGGCAGCGAUGGGGGCUGCCGCCUCACAGCUGGGCUGAGCACUGUUCCAAGCUCUGAUCACCCGGCAGCUGGAAGGGCAGUGAGUGCUUGAGAGGAGAACACUGGUUCAAGGACCAACGGAGUGUCUACUUAUUUUUACCUCUGAAAACUCUUCACCGUGCGUUUUCACUGCCGGCUCUUCUACCGCUGUUCCCUCAGCUCCUACUUGCAUCCUCUGCCCAUAAAACAAGGUGAAGUGGAUGUGGGACUUGACAGAAUGAACCGUUUGGCGUUGGGCACGUGGUUUUUCAGUAAAGGUGCCAGUACCAGCGUGUGUGAUGCUGGCACGGUUGUACUUGGGGACAGCGCCCCCCACUGUCCGUCCUGUGAGGUGUCUGCGUCCCUCUCACUUGUGCUGACCCCUCAAGGAGACAGAGAGGGCUGCUGAAUAACCAUGGAUGCACCCCAGGAACAAGACGUGCGUUCCAGCAUCCCAGCUGGAGGAAUCAUUUUCUAGUCAAUCUGCGGUGAACUUUAACCUAAAACAAGCCUGCUUUCAGAAUGAACUAGACCGUUAGGCGGAAUAUGACAGGGAAGCCGCCCGACGUGCUCACAAGAGCUUCUCGCAACCUGGUUAUGACGCAGAGGGUGUGUGUCACCCCCGAGUGACGGAGGUGGCCUCCGCUUGGUAUUCUUGAUGUAAUGUGGGUGAAUAUCCCCACUUACAUGUACGCACACCUCUUGUCUCUUGCCUACAAACUGGGUGGUAAGAUACUAGUGGUCAAAAAUUGCUUCUUACACAUCUUUCAUGCUUAAUGGAGUAUUGAAUUGAACUUGCUUAUUUUGUGGACCUUUGCCACACCUGCCCCAGCAGG